rnacentral:misc_RNA from 1 species
GAUGAAGAACGUAGCGAAAUGCGAUAAGUAAUGUGAAUUGCAGAAUUCAGUGAAUCAUCGAAUCUUUGAACGCACAUUGCGCCCCUUGGUAUUCCGGGGGGCAUGCCUGUUCGAGCGCCAUUUCAACCCUCAAGCUUCUGCUUGGUCUUGGGCCGUGCCGGCAACGGCUGGCCUUAAAACUAGUGGCGGUGCCAUCGAGCUCUACGCGUAGUAAUUCUAUCUCGCGUCUGGGCUUCGGUGGACGCUGGCCAGCAACCCCCAAUUUUCUAUGGUUGACCUCGGAUCAGGUAGGGAUACCCGCUGAACUUAAGCAUAUCAAUAAGCGGAGGA